rnacentral:lncRNA from 1 species
GCUGCGGGAAAUUGCUGGAGAAGGGGGAGCCAAGCUGGAGUAAGGCUGGCGGUCUCCCGCAUUGACUUCAUAACCAAGUUCUGGGUCCCUGCCUCUGGAGUGCCUGAUGAGACAAAACGGCUCCUCGUCCUGCAUCCCCGCUGCUACUUCCAGAAUUCAGGCCUCGUGGUCUGGAGCCUGCACUGUUCCAUGAGCCUCCUGAGCAACCUGGAGUCCUCUGUCUUUCUUCCCUCAGUGAGAUGCGCCUACUUCUCCCUGGAGAAGCUCGAGGAAGCAGGAAUGCUGGAGAUGAGCUGCUCCUCACUCUCACUCCUGGGUGUGCUGGGCAGUGGGGUGCAAUGUGCACGUAGGUGCACACUCUCCCUGGGCGGCAGCGAGAAGCAGAGGUCUGAUCUGUGGUCGGAUGAGGAGAGGAAGUGCAAGUAAAGCAGCUGCAGCGAGACCUCGUCUGCUCAGGGGCUUGUUCUUACAUCUUUUGCAGGGCUGUUUUGAAGUCAGUAUUCACUUAAGCACUCCAAAUUACCCAGCACACCCUGCCUGCAUGGCGCUGCGCUGCACCUUCACUCUGGUCACGGGUCUGGCAGUCGGCUCACCAAUUCGUCCUGCUUCCCUGGGACUCGCCGGCUUUUAGCACUGCAAUUCACUCAGCAAACUGGGACUGUUGGUCACCCUACCUGGCAGCCAGUGAUAAGGUGAGGGCCACUCCUGGGAGGGAGGACACCUGUGGGGAAAAUUCUUGUGUUAUUUAUUUCUCCUUCGGGAUAGGGUGCCUGCAGCGCUUCAUGGGAGGGGGUGGGCUGAUGCUGCGGGCUCAGAAGUUUCAAGGGCAUCUGGGGAGACCAGAUAUUCAGAGACCUUCUCCUAGAUGUGCCUGUUCCAUGUAUCAGGGACACAGGUUUUCCCAACAGGGCUGGUGUCAUUGGCAUGACAGACCUGCCUUGGCUGAGCGUUCACCCGUCUUCGGAGUUCAGCCACCUUAGCAAGUCCUGGGUUUGUUCUUCAGAUUUUGCUGCUCGCCCAUUGCCUGGAUCGGGGGCUACUUUGUAAACCACCAGGAAGACUCCAGUGUUUCUGCUUAAUUUUUAGAUGUUUGUUAAUUGCUCUUGGCCUCUCAUUAAUCCCCUGUGGGUCAUCCAGGAAAUAUACUCACCACUGUCUGUUCUCUGAGUUUUCAUUUCCAGGCAUCCGCCCUGCCUGGAUCUCCUCACCUGCCAGGAACUUCCUCUCCACAAGCCGGCCAUCCCAGCAAAAGUUCUAACACCAAAGAUGACUGCCAGGGGCAUGAAGGGGAUGUGCUUCCAGGGCAUUUGCUGGCAGGGCGUCUCGUGAUCUCUUGGUAUUGGUGUGAGCACAGCCUGGCAGGAGAGGGCAGAUCUCCAUGCAAAGUAUGUCAGAAAGCAGAUGGAAGCCAGGCCCCCUCCUGAAAGAGGCUCCUUGAAGAUAAUUCUAACAUCUUUGUCAUCAGUGUUGACAUCUCUUGAUUGUAUCCUGUCAUUCCAUUUGAGAUCUUCCUGGUUCUGGCUGGCAUCCUCUGACAUCACUCCAGCAGAAGAAAGGGAAGGAACACGCUGCAUUACUGCGUGGUCACAAGGUCCCCGUCUGAUCUGCCUUCACUCCACCUUUCAGAGUCUUAUGUUUGUUUUGUGUAUAUUAUCAAGGGGUUUUAGGUCACUUAGUCGGAAGAAUAGGGAAAAGUAUGUCUACUCCAGCUUAAUGGAAGUGGAAUUCUCCUGAGAACCUUUUUUUGAUACAAAAUAUGUACUUGUGCAUAUUUUGUAUCAAAAUAUAUAAUGUACAUGUCCCUUUUGUACAUGUAUAUAAAUUGUAUAUAAAUAUUUAGGGUUAUAAAAAUAACCAAAGACACCAAAAACUGCCACAGGUGGAUUUGAGAAGAUGUGGAAAUGCCUCACUGCUAAGACAUGCUCAUUCUUGACAGGCUGGGAACCCUGAAUGCUGUAGUGUCACCACUGCCCUGUCCUGUACCUACCUAUCUUUUCACUCAUUUCCUCCAAGCUCAGGUUUUCAGUUUGGGGUAUGUGCCACCUAACAGUGAGCUGUGGAACUGCAGCACAAUCAUCAAAUUCAAAAAAGGCAAGGACAUCUUGCUCAGUUUUUAAGAUACGCCAUAGAUGGAGUAAACCAUAACCUUUGAUUCCAGAUCCUUAACCCUGAUUAAAAACAACACAACCCUUCAUGUUGAUUUAAAACAUCCCUUGCAAAAGAUGGUUUGAAUAUUCCAAGUUGGAAAUACCCAGUCUUUUAAAGUUACAGCACCCUUUUUGAUACAAAAAAUGUGCAUGACAGAAAUUGUACAGUGAGUAGUGUUAUAAAAAUAACCAAACACACCAAAAAAAAAAAAAAAAAAAA